rnacentral:rRNA from 1 species
CAUUCAGUUGGGCACUCUAAGGUGACUGCCGGUGACAAACCGGAGGAAGGUGGGGAUGACGUCAAAUCAUCAUGCCCCUUAUGACCUGGGCUACACACGUGCUACAAUGGAUGGUACAAAGGGCAGCAAAGCCGUGAGGUGGAGCCAAUCCCAUAAAGCCAUUCUCAGUUCGGAUUGCAGGCUGCAACUCGCCUGCAUGAAGCCGGAAUUGCUAGUAAUCGCGGAUCAGCAUGCCGCGGUGAAUACGUUCCCGGG